GGUUAAGCGACUAAGCGUACACGGUGGAUGCCCUGGCAGUCAGAGGCGAUGAAGGACGUGCUAAUCUGCGAAAAGCGUCGGUAAGGUGAUAUGAACCGUUAUAACCGGCGAUGUCCGAAUGGGGAAACCCAGUGUGAUUCGUCACACUAUCGUUAACUGAAUACAUAGGUUAACGAGGCGAACCGGGGGAACUGAAACAUCUAAGUACCCCGAGGAAAAGAAAUCAACCGAGAUUCCCCCAGUAGCGGCGAGCGAACGGGGAGCAGCCCAGAGUCUGAAUCAGCUUGUGUGUUAGUGGAACGGUCUGGAAAGUCCGACGGUACAGGGUGAUAGUCCCGUACACCAAAAUGCACAGGUUGUGAACUCGAAGAGUAGGGCGGGACACGUGGUAUCCUGUCUGAAUAUGGGGGGACCAUCCUCCAAGGCUAAAUACUCCUGACUGACCGAUAGUGAACCAGUACCGUGAGGGAAAGGCGAAAAGAACCCCGGCGAGGGGAGUGAAAAAGAACCUGAAACCGUGUACGUACAAGCAGUGGGAGCACCUUCGGGUGUGACUGCGUACCUUUUGUAUAAUGGGUCAGCGACUUAUAUUCUGUAGCAAGGUUAACCGUAUAGGGGAGCCGCAGGGAAACCGAGUCUUAACUGGGCGUUAAGUUGCAGGGUAUAGACCCGAAACCCGGUGAUCUAGCCAUGGGCAGGUUGAAGGUUGGGUAACACUAACUGGAGGACCGAACCGACUAAUGUUGAAAAAUUAGCGGAUGACUUGUGGCUGGGGGUGAAAGGCCAAUCAAACCGGGAGAUAGCUGGUUCUCCCCGAAAGCUAUUUAGGUAGCGCCUCGUGAAUUCAUCUUCGGGGGUAGAGCACUGUUUCGGCUAGGGGGUCAUCCCGACUUACCAACCCGAUGCAAACUACGAAUACCGAAGAAUGUUAUCACGGGAGACACACGGCGGGUGCUAACGUCCGUCGUGAAGAGGGAAACAACCCAGACCGCCAGCUAAGGUCCCAAAGUCAUGGUUAAGUGGGAAACGAUGUGGGAAGGCACAGACAGCCAGGAUGUUGGCUUAGAAGCAGCCAUCAUUUAAAGAAAGCGUAAUAGCUCACUGGUCGAGUCGGCCUGCGCGGAAGAUGUAACGGGGCUAAACCAUGCACCGAAGCUGCGGCAGCGACACGAUGUGUUGUUGGGUAGGGGAGCGUUCUGUAAGCCUGCGAAGGUGUGCUGUGAGGCAUGCUGGAGGUAUCAGAAGUGCGAAUGCUGACAUAAGUAACGAUAAAGCGGGUGAAAAGCCCGCUCGCCGGAAGACCAAGGGUUCCUGUCCAACGUUAAUCGGGGCAGGGUGAGUCGACCCCUAAGGCGAGGCCGAAAGGCGUAGUCGAUGGGAAACAGGUUAAUAUUCCUGUACUUGGUGUUACUGCGAAGGGGGGACGGAGAAGGCUAUGUUAGCCGGGCGACGGUUGUCCCGGUUUAAGCAUGUAGGCUGGUUGUCCAGGCAAAUCCGGAUAAUCAAGGCUGAGGUGUGAUGACGAGGCACUACGGUGCUGAAGUAACAAAUGCCCUGCUUCCAGGAAAAGCCUCUAAGCAUCAGGUAACAUCAAAUCGUACCCCAAACCGACACAGGUGGUCAGGUAGAGAAUACCAAGGCGCUUGAGAGAACUCGGGUGAAGGAACUAGGCAAAAUGGUGCCGUAACUUCGGGAGAAGGCACGCUGGUGUGUAGGUGAAGUCCCUGCGGAUGGAGCUGAGACCAGUCGAAGAUACCAGCUGGCUGCAACUGUUUAUUAAAAACACAGCACUGUGCAAACACGAAAGUGGACGUAUACGGUGUGACGCCUGCCCGGUGCCGGAAGGUUAAUUGAUGGGGUUAUCCGUAAGGAGAAGCUCUUGAUCGAAGCCCCGGUAAACGGCGGCCGUAACUAUAACGGUCCUAAGGUAGCGAAAUUCCUUGUCGGGUAAGUUCCGACCUGCACGAAUGGCGUAAUGAUGGCCAGGCUGUCUCCACCCGAGACUCAGUGAAAUUGAACUCGCUGUGAAGAUGCAGUGUACCCGCGGCAAGACGGAAAGACCCCGUGAACCUUUACUAUAGCUUGACACUGAACAUUGAGCCUUGAUGUGUAGGAUAGGUGGGAGGCUUUGAAGCGUGGACGCCAGUCUGCGUGGAGCCAACCUUGAAAUACCACCCUUUAAUGUUUGAUGUUCUAACGUUGGCCCCUGACCGGGGUUGCGGACAGUGUCUGGUGGGUAGUUUGACUGGGGCGGUCUCCUCCCAAAGCGUAACGGAGGAGCACGAAGGUUAGCUAAUCCUGGUCGGACAUCAGGAGGUUAGUGCAAUGGCAUAAGCUAGCUUGACUGCGAGCGUGACGGCGCGAGCAGGUGCGAAAGCAGGUCAUAGUGAUCCGGUGGUUCUGAAUGGAAGGGCCAUCGCUCAACGGAUAAAAGGUACUCCGGGGAUAACAGGCUGAUACCGCCCAAGAGUUCAUAUCGACGGCGGUGUUUGGCACCUCGAUGUCGGCUCAUCACAUCCUGGGGCUGAAGUAGGUCCCAAGGGUAUGGCUGUUCGCCAUUUAAAGUGGUACGCGAGCUGGGUUUAGAACGUCGUGAGACAGUUCGGUCCCUAUCUGCCGUGGGCGCUGGAGAAUUGAGGGGGGCUGCUCCUAGUACGAGAGGACCGGAGUGGACGCAUCACUGGUGUUCGGGUUGUCAUGCCAAUGGCACUGCCCGGUAGCUAAAUGCGGAAGAGAUAAGUGCUGAAAGCAUCUAAGCACGAAACUUGCCCCGAGAUGAGUUCUCCCUGAGACUUUAAGUCUCCUGAAGGAACGUUGAAGACGACGACGUUGAUAGGCCGGGUGUGUAAGCGCAGCGAUGCGUUGAGCUAACCGGUACUAAUGAACCGUGAGGCUUAACCUU
rnacentral:rRNA from 2 species